rnacentral:rRNA from 1 species
GAUGAACGCUGGCGGCGUGCCUAAUACAUGCAAGUCGAGCGAACAGACGAGGAGCUUGCUCCUCUGACGUUAGCGGCGGACGGGUGAGUAACACGUGGAUAACCUACCUAUAAGACUGGAAUAACUUCGGGAAACCGGAGCUAAUACCGGAUAAUAUAUUGAACCGCAUGGUUCAAUAGUGAAAGACGGUUUUGCUGUCACUUAUAGAUGGAUCCGCGCCGCAUUAGCUAGUUGGUAAGGUAACGGCUUACCAAGGCAACGAUGCGUAGCCGACCUGAGAGGGUGAUCGGCCACACUGGAACUGAGACACGGUCCAGACUCCUGCGGGAGGCAGCAGUAGGGAAUCUUCCGCAAUGGGCGAAAGCUUGACGGAGCAACGCCGCGUGAGUGAUGAAGGUCUUCGGAUCGUAAAACUCUGUUAUUAGGGAAGAACAAAUGUGUAAGUAACUAUGUACGUCUUGACGGUACCUAAUCAGAAAGCCACGGCUAACUACGUG